GAGGCUGAGGCACAAGAAUUGCUUGAAUCCAGGAGGCAGCUGAUGUUGCAUUGAGCCUUGAUUGUGUCACUGCACUCCAGCCUAGGCAACAAAGUGAGACUGUCUCAAAACACAAACAAAAAACAAAGCAA